CAUUUUCCGGAAGCCAGCAGAUUUCCGCCUCCAGUAAACCCGUGGCCCCGCCCCUCGGCACACCUGCGCCCGACCGAUGUAUCAUCAGCAGCGCACUUGCUGCGUUUGGACGUUUGAAUUCGUGGCAGAUGGGGAAAAAGUGAAACGGAUGAACCCAGUCUACAGUCGACUCCGCGGACUCUGUGAAGAUGUCGCUGACUGGCGCACAUUUGUGGAUUAACCCUAUUGAAGGUUUGACCGCCCUCGUUAUCUUUGACCUGUGCACAUCAAUGCAAACAGAUCUAAUGUGGUUUGACUUUCACUGGAUAUCCCCAAGCUUCUGAUGAUGGGAAGAUGGCUGCUCUGCUGAAGAGUAUAACGAAGGAAAACUGUGAGGAAUCCAUAAGAGGAAUCAAGAAGAUGAAGGUUCUACUUCGGCCUUGCAGCAUCAUUUUCAGGUGUGAGGGAAAGAAGUACAGACAAAACGUCUUGUAACAGCUGCGAUCUAGCUGAGGUAAGUAUCCUGGGGAUGUGAAAUCCCAGUUCUAGGUGUGUGGAUGGUGAACAACACGUGAUAAACAAGUCUUCUCCCUCCUCCCGGGCCUUUGUUGGUCUCUCCCUUUGACGUGUUUCUACAGAGCAGAUGGCUUUACACAUAAAUCCUAUUAACAACUUUCUGCUGAUGGGGAUGCAGUGAGUACAGAGCUUUCUCACUCUUUCAUUAUCUCCAGUGGGAAGCCUGCUUUUUUUAUUUUCUAACCUCUGAAAGGGAGAAGUGGUACAGCUGAAGUCGAAGGCCACGCCAUGUCUGCAGAGAAGAAGCCAAAAAAGAAACGAGAAGAGGCCAAUGGCACAACCGUGACCAAGCUAAAUGGAGCUGAAGCCAAGCCCAAAAAAACAAAGGCCAAGAAAAAUGAAG